rnacentral:misc_RNA from 1 species
UCUCCGUAGGUGAACCUGCGGAGGGAUCAUUACAGAGUUCAUGCCCUAACGGGUAGAUCUCCCACCCUAUGUUAUUCUUACUUUGUUGCUUUGGCGGGCCGUUAGGCUCACGCCUGGCCACCGGCUCCGGCUGGUGAGUGCCCGCCAGAGGACCCAAAACCCUUUUUAUUAGUGUCGUCUGAGUACUAUAUAAUAGUUAAAACUUUCAACAACGGAUCUCUUGGUUCUG